UUUUUGGCAAAUUAAGUUUUGUUUUUGUAUGCUUUUUAUUUAAUAUGUAAUCACAUUUAAUCACAAUUACUCGCAUUCAUCAUAACAGUAUUUUGAACUGUACAGUUCAAUUGAAUAUUAGCUGAAGUGUAUGAAUAAAGGAAUGAAUAACUAGCAUAGAUUUAAAAGCUCCCUGUAAUGAACAUCAGUCAGUAACAAAUGCUGUAAAUACUGUAUAUCUCUUACAACUCUAGCCCAUUUACUUAUGGUUUAAUGCACAUUAAUACACCUACCAAUUACAAAAUAAUUAUAGAAGAUGCUUAUACAUGCCAGAAGCUAUUUUCAGGAGAUUCAAGGCUACGUAAGCAAGUACUUUAAUUGUAGGAAUGGUGCUUUGAGCACUCACAAUCAUAAUGAAAGUAGACAAAAUAUGUUUCAUAUAUAGCCCUAUAUCCUAUUGACAGAUGUUUGGAGACUAAACUGCUUCAAACACAUGAAGAAAUGUUUGGAAAAAGCUCAAAACAAAGGAAAAAACUAUUGGUAUAGACAGAGAAAAGUGUCUAUUAAAUUUUACAUUUAGUCAAAUAUUUUCUUGUAGUUUAUUUGCGCCGUAAAACAGUAUUUAACAGUUCUACACUCUAAAAAAUAUUUUGUGUUUUAGAUAGAUGUACUAAUAUUAUCAAGUUAUUUUUUUGUAUUUUACUUUAUGUAUUCACCAAAGCUUUCUUUAUCAGUGUUGGUUCAUACAGCUUUAUUCUGUGUUGCUAAGAGUGAUUGUAUGUAUGCUUGGUGCUACAGUGUUCACUCUUGUGUUACUGCAGAAUCAUGCUGUCAGUACUGUCAGUUUUUUUUAAAUCUGAAGAAUGUUGUAUUGUUUUAAUUGUUUUUGUGAUUACACCAAUAUUGUCAAAACUAAAUUCCUUAAACCCAGAAUACCUAAAAAAAACACUGGAGUAAGUUAACAUGAUAACGUGUGAACAAAAUUAUUUUGGAUGAAUAAACUUUAUUAUGUUA